GGGCCCUCCAGAGAUGGUGUUGAUGAUCUCGAUUGGAGGCUGAUCUCCAGGCUGUUCUUCCCUCCUUGGUGGCUUCGAUUGUGGCAGGGCCCUCGAUCGAUCCUCCUUACCUUUAGGCCAGCAUCGGAUGAAUCUGUCGAGCCGACCCCGCCUGAUGAGCUCCUCGAUUUUAUCUCGGAGCUGAAUGCAUUCCUCCGUGUCGUGGCUGUGG
rnacentral:lncRNA from 1 species